rnacentral:lncRNA from 1 species
UAAUUUUUCAAAAAUAGUCUCCUCUUGUUGAUAUGUUUCUGUGCAUGCAGUGCGUCAAAUGAUCUAAAUGUAUCGUAUUAUUCAGAAGUGUCAGGGUUAAGAAUGCAGUUUGCCGGUCAUUUUCACUGAGCGUCAGUGUUGAUAUUAAUAUGAUACACAGAACUUGAUGAUAGAGGUGAAGGGGGCCCAAGACUUUUUUCCAUAUUAUUAUUUUAUGGAUACCAAGGGUAAUUGCCAAGGGCAAGCGGUAUAUUUUUGACCAGAAUUCAAUCUGGUGGCGUUUUGUGGCCGUCAUAUUAUGUUCGGGUUUCGUUCGUAAGCGUGUAGAUUUGUAAAUAGGCCUAACUUAUGCAUCGCCUACUGACCGCACUGACAGUUAUCGCCAUUUCUUCUGUGUUAUUUCUGAAAUCAUUACUAUUUAAAGUUUACAUGUACUAAUCUUCUGACUUUGAUUUUUGUGCAACAAUGUGGCUCAUCCAGGCCAUGGGAAAGGUUAAGUAGAUUUCUCUUAUACAGCGAAAAGAGGGAAUCAAAACAAUGGAAGUAUUCAGAUCGACUCUCUGUAGGCUGCUAGUUAUAGCCCUAGUCUAAAGUGAUCAAUGAUGUUAUGAAAAAAAUCGUAUUUUCGGGAAGAGACAGAAACAUACUUGAUGUUUCCGAAAAGGCCUAAUUAGCACUGACUGAAGUAGCCUAAAUGUGGACCGUCAGGUUGUUGCUGCUGUCUAUAAAUUUUAUCAUAGCAAGGUGCUUAUCAUGUGUAUUUUUAUUAUUUCCGAAAAAAGAAUCAAUUCAUCAUUUUCCGAUAACUAGAUCUAUGUCCGACUCCUUUCUAAUGAAAACGAGCAAAAGUAAAACGAGUCUCUCGUCGCGCGCUAUAACGGGGUGUUUGCGGUAUUGUCCUCUCUGGUGAUGAUAAGCUAGUCGAUAGUCAAAAGUUAAAUAUCACCAUAUAUUGUCAGUGAGUUGGUCAUCGUUUGUUGAUUAUUAAAGUGAGAUAGGUGUAGCCAAUGUGCACUAAUGAAAAAUACAAUGGAAUUGAUAGCAACCAUAUUCUUUCGGUUUUCGAUCUGCAUAUGUUGCCACGUAGGCUACCAUACUACAGAAUUAUAUUUAACGAUAUUUAACUGUAUUAGAUCUAUGUUAAUAAACGUAGUGACAAAUAAAUUUCAAUAAAUAUUUAGAGCUGUUUCAACUUCGUCUGGUAUUGAAUAAGCUAUUGCAUUUUGUUUAUUACCCCAUGUUUCUAAUCUUUGUAAAUGUUAGAACAUAUAUAACUAUCCUGGCAUAUUAAUAUGGAAAAUAUUAAGGUAGAUCUAAGUAUUAAAAAAAAUCAUUUUUAAUUAGGAUAAAUACCCCAAAGUGUUAACACUUUUAUCACUUAUUGGUGGGCCAAUUCAUAAUUCAUAUUCAACAUUCUUGCUUCAAAUAUGGGAACUAUUUAUUUUAUUUGGCAAUAUAUAUUUUUCAUUUAUAUACAUAUUUUUCAAAUAAGGUUUUAGAAACUUGGCCAUGAUAUUCACUUGAAUCACUAGUUUGAGUGUACAGCAGAAAGGUAAAGUUACUGCUUUUGAAAAACUACAGUUGAUCUGUUGACUGAUAAAACUAUUUGCCAAUAUUACUAUCAGUUACAUCAUACUCUAUUAGUCUAAGUAAAUGGGAUUUAUCUAUACAGUACUGGUUUAUUUAAGAAUGUGAUACUUUGUGGUUUCUGUUUUUCUUUCAGGUGGAGAAAACAGUAUUGUGGGAGCGUAUUUGUUUAAAGUACAUAUCACUGACAGAAAGUUACCAAGGCAUAAGGAGAGACUGAGGAUACAGUUGAAGAUCAUCCCUGUGACUUUUCAUUUGAGGACUGAAAAGGCUCCCCAGCAACUCAGCCCAUGUUCUGACUUGUCAUUUAACAAAUAAAUAAAGGUCACCUCAA